UAAAUGCAGAAUGAAGAAAUAAUAAAAUUGGCAAAUGUAAUAAUGUUUUAUUUUUAAAUAAAUGUAUUUUUCUACCAUAUGACCCCAGUGGGCUUCAUAGACAUGUGAGCAGGUAUAAUUUAUAACUGAAAGUAAACCACAGUGGGCGUUUUAAAAUGUAAUAGCAUCAAGUGCAUAAAGUGCAGCGCUGAAGUGGAGAAAGUCACCAAGAAGGACUGAUGCAGUUUGAGGAAAAAGUGCAAAGCCUUAUAUUUGGGUUAAAAGGAUAAUUUGCCCCAAAUAAAAAAUAAAUAAAAAAUCUGUCUCUUCCCCCUCAUAUUAUCUCCCCAAUCUCCAAACAUGGACGAAUAAAACCCAAACUAUUUGACAGGAUAGAUAACACUAGAGGGGAGAGGAUAUAUUUUUAGGUGUACUGACCCCUUUACGAGCCACCAAACCAGCUUUAAGAGAGUCUUUAUAAAAAGCCUAUGAGUAUGAUUAGAAAGAGUUAAAA